rnacentral:rRNA from 1 species
UGGGGAAUUUUGCACAAUGGGGGAAACCCUGAUGCAGCGACGCCGCGUGAUUUAGAAGGCCUUUGGGAUGUAAAAAUCUUUUCUAUGGGAAGAAAAUGACAGUACCAUAGGAAUAAGGACCGGCUAAUUACGUGCCAGCAGCCGCGGUAAUACGUAAGGUCCGAGCGUUGUCCGGAAUCAUUGGGCGUAAAGGGUACGUAGGCGGGUAAGCAAGUUAGAAGUGAAAUCCUAUAGCUCAACUAUAGUAAGCUUUUAAAACUGCUCAUCUUGAGGUAUGGAAGGGAAAGUGGAAUUCCUAGUGUAGCGGUGAAAUGAGCAGAUAUUAGGAGGAAUACCGGUGGCGAAGGCGACUUUCUGGCCAUAACCUGACGCUGAGGUACGAAAGCGUGGGUAGCAAACAGG